AAAUCUCAAAUUGUAAAUGUGUA
rnacentral:miRNA from 1 species